ACACGAAGUACGCAAACCCGGCGAAAGCCGGUGGCGCAAAGCUACAGGGGCUAAAGUACCGCAAGGUUCUAUGCUCGCCAGCUGCCGUG
rnacentral:ncRNA from 1 species